rnacentral:lncRNA from 1 species
GCCGUAUUUUUGCGCCUGUCCCAAGUCAGGAGCCUCUGGCCUUUGUUAGUCUUGUAUUAUUUUAAUUUUAGUUUCUUGUGUACAAUUUGGAAAUUAGUAUGGCGUUCAUUAUCACUGAACUAGUAUAUAUUUGUUUAGGGGCCAGUUGAAGGACGCCUCCGGGUGCGGAAUUUCUCGCUACAUUGAAGACCUGUUGGUGACCUUCUGCUGUUGUUUUUUUCUAUGGUCGGGUUGUUGUCUCUUUGGCACAUUCCCCAUUUC